rnacentral:rRNA from 1 species
CCUACGGGAGGCAGCAGUGGGGAAUAUUGCACAAUGGGGGAAACCCUGAUGCAGCGACGCCGCGUGAGUGAAGAAGUAUUUCGGUAUGUAAAGCCCUAUCAGCAGGGAAGAAGAAAUGACGGUACCUGAGUAAGAAGCACCGGCUAAAUACGUGCCAGCAGCCGCGGUAAUACGUAUGGUGCAAGCGUUAUCCGGAUUUACUGGGGGUAAAGGGAGCGCAGGCGGCACGGCAAGCCUGAUGUGAAAGCCCGCGGCCCAACCGCGGGACUGCAUUGGGAACUACCGGGCUGGAGUGCCGGAGAGGUAGGCGGAAUUCCUAGUGUAGCGGUGAAAUGCGUAGAUAUUAGGAGGAACACCAGUGGCGAAGGCGGCCUACUGGACGGUGACUGACGCUGAGGCUCGAAAGCGUGGGGAGCAAACAGGAUUAGAUACCCCGGUAGUC